rnacentral:rRNA from 1 species
GACGAACGCUGGCGGCGUGCUUAACACAUGCAAGUCGAACGGAAAGGCUCUGCUUUUGUGGGGUGCUCGAGUGGCGAAUGGGUGUGUAACACGGGAGUAACCUGACCUUGUCUUUGGGAUAACUUCAGGAAACUGGGGCUAAUACCGGAUAGGAGCUCCUGCUGCAUGGUGGGGGUUGGAAAGUUUCGGCGGUUGGGGAUGGACUCGCGGCGUAUCAGCUUGUUGGUGGGGUAGUGGCUUACCAAGGCUUUGACGGGUAGCCGGCCUGAGAGGGUGACCGGCCACAUUGGGACUGAGAUACGGCCCAGACUCCUACGGGAGGCAGCAGUGGGGAAGAUUGCACAAUGGGCGGAAGCCUGGUGCAACAACGCCGCGUGGGGGAUGACGGCCUUCGGGUUGUAAUCCGCUUCCGCCUGUGACGAAGCGUGAGUGACGGUAAUGGGUAAAGAAGCACCGGCUAACUACGUG